rnacentral:lncRNA from 1 species
ACACCCCACCCCGGACGGCCACAACGACGGCGACCGCAAAGCACCACGCGGAGAUACCCGUGUUUCUGGAGGCCAGCUUUACUGUGCUAGAGGAAGAGGGUCCCCACAUCCGGCCCUGGCCCUCCUGGUCCGGUUUGCUGAAGCAACACACUUGGCCUACCCACUGGGUGGGGCAGGAAGUCUCGAGCCUUCACUUGGGGCCCUGACCCGGAACUGUGGCCCAUGGGCAGAGAUAGUCCCUCACCUUGUGGAAGAACACUGUCUCCAAGAGGUUGAUGAUGGAGGCCUCGUGGUGCACCUGUCAGAUAAAGAGAAGGACAGGGCCUGAGGAAGGGAUAGGGGCUACCAGCUCUCCUCCCCGGUCCAGAGCCCUCUGAAGGAGUGAGAAGAGCUCCUGAAUGGGCUCGCCCUGGCUGACUGUGGCAUCGAGGAUGGCUUGCAUGUUCAGCUUCUCCAGGUUCUCAUGCUGCUGGUUCCACCUGCCUC